CACGAGAGGGGGACUAUAUAAGAAUCAAUGAAGCUGUCACUAUCACGAACCACCCCACGAUCUGGCAUAUUGAGUACAAUCGCAGAUAAAUACGGUAUAAGCACCACGCCUACACAAUAUCUAUCAUUUACCUAUGGAUCCGAUGGAUAAACGCUAUACGAUCCUAAACAUGUAUAUAGAUCCAAUCUAACUAAGCCAAGUAUAUAACUAUGAUAAACUAAGAACAAUAUAAUCUUGAAUAUAAGCAAGU
rnacentral:lncRNA from 1 species